ACUUGGAUAUCUUAAUUUAAAAAAGUUUAAUUUUGAAGAAAUUAAUAUAGGUUUUAUUACCUUCCAAGUG
rnacentral:tRNA from 1 species